rnacentral:lncRNA from 10 species
GCUUGGCAAAUGAAUGGAAAGAUGAGCAAUGGGAGAGGAAAGAAUUGAAGAGGGCUGUGAGGUUUGAAGAAUGGGUAAGUAGCAUCAUUCACAGAAAUGAGAGGGACAAGGGGUCAGAAAAAUUGGGAAUCAGUGGCGAAGAAAGACUGGUUUGGAUCUGUUGCAAUGGAGAGGCCAAUGACAUUUAUUUGUGAUGUCUAACAGGUCCGUGGACACAGGAAAAGGUGAGACUUUGUUUACUUGUCUGUAAAAUAGGGAUGAGGUGAUACAUAGUUCAUAUCCAAAUGCAAAUUUUGACUCUUAGAAGCAUAUUUUCAUAUUUGUAUCUCUUCCUUUCUCAGUAGUUUUGCCAGUUGGUGUAUUUCUUUGCUUAUUUCCACUUUUUCUUCCUCUGCAGCAUCCCCCAUGAAGUGGCGCUGAAAGAUCACGAUAGCACAGUUCCAUGAUGUGAAAUACCACAAGUCUGCAAUUUUUCGGUCUUGAGAGUGUCGCUGGGCUGAGAGGAUGGAAAUCUUUCAGUAAUUAUACCAGUUUGUAUUCGUCUCACAUUUGGGACCAAAUACAAAUCCGAUCCACUCUUUCUCCCUGUGAAUAUUCAUAAAAAACAAAGUGCCAAUUCUGGUCUAAUCAUGUAUGGAACCAAAUAUGUUGAUGAGUCCUAAGUAUAUACUGUAUGUAUGUAUACAUAUGAAUAUAUAUAUUUGUACACACUAAUUUUGCUUGUGUCCUCCUCUGUGCAAUUUGUUUGUUUAGUAUAGGGGUUGCUGUUAUAAUGUGUUAAUAAGCUGCUGAAAGCUUGGCACCUAUUACUUGAAAUGACAGCUAUGUUAGAAGCCUAUUAACACUCCAUAGCAGCAGCUCUGCAGCUACUAGAAAUGAAUUUCAAAGAAGGUAAAUGAACAAAAGCGAUUCAUAUCUCUAAGGAAAGCAAAUACCAUGCCUAGAACCAUAUAUACUUUGGAAAUGUACAGUGUAUAAAAUGAAAAACCUCUUCCAGUUAAAGAAACAGCGGAAGGGAAUAUUUGGGGAAAGGAAGACUGCCUAAAAGAUUUCCAAACAACCUUGAAGAUGUAAAUGUAAAGGAUACCAAACAUAACUUCCUCUCUUUGUUUCUAUUGUAUUUAAACCAGAUCCAUGUCAAACUUAUAAGAACAGAAUAUAGUACAGGUAGAGGAAAUUCACUUUUCAUGAGCAAAAGUUAAAUCAUCUGGAUUUAGCUCAAACUUCUUUUUCUUCAUUUCUGAGCUUAGAAGGACACCCUUUGCUAUUGUUCUCGGAAGCAGGGCUCUUUAUGAGUCAGCUUGCUCUGCUUUUGAACUACUUUACUUACUUUUGACUGUCAUUGGAAUUUGCAAGAUGGUUGAAAGUCCUGGGUAAACCUUAACCAUGAUAAUAAAAAUGUGGUAAGUU